GACGAACGCUGGCGGCAUGCUUAACACACGCAAGUCGAACGCAGCAUCGGGGCUUGCUCCGAUGGUUGAGUGGCAGACGGGUGAGUAACACGUGGGAACUUACCCUUUAGACUGGGACAACCAUUGGAAACGAUGGCUAAUACCGGAUACGCCCUGAGGGGGAAAGCAGAAAUGCGCUAAGGGAGAGGCCCGCGGCAGAUUAGGUAGUUGGUGGGGUAAAGGCCUACCAAGCCAAUGAUCUGUAGCUGGUUUGAGAGGAUGAUCAGCCACACUGGGACUGAGACACGGCCCAGACUCCUACGGGAGGCAGCAGUGGGGAAUAUUGGACAAUGGGGGAAACCCUGAUCCAGCAAUGCCGCGUGAAUGAAGAAGGCCUUAGGGUUGUAAAAUUCUUUUGUUCGUGACGAUAAUGACGGUAGCGGACGAAUAAGCCCUGGCUAACUCUGUGCCAGCAGCCGCCGUAA
rnacentral:rRNA from 1 species